rnacentral:tRNA from 1 species
CAGGACAUAGCUAAAGCAGAAUAGCAUAUCCCUUACACUGAUAAAUUCCCCGUGCAACUCGGAGUGUCCUGA